rnacentral:lncRNA from 1 species
UGCCAACAGAAAAAUUACCAUUACCAUCUCUAGGAAAUGAUUGCCCAUGUUCCAACCUUUCAUACUUGAAGUCUAAGUGGCAUAAACCACCAUCAUCAACACAAUAUUGCCUUGAAAGUUCUACAACAGCUCUGGCAGCUAGGCUUGCAUGUUCUGCAAACUCAGCCGCUGCUUGAGCAGCAGAGGUAGCAUCCUUAAAUUUCAUGUUAUAAUUCUCCCUGCCAAUAGAAAAAUUACCAUCUCCAGGAAAUGAUUGCCCAUAUUCCAGCCUUUCAUCCUUGAAACCUAAGUGGCAUGAACCACCAUAAUCAACACAAUAAUGCCUUGAAAGUUCUACAACAGCUCUGGCUGCUAGGCUUGCAUGUCCUCUAAAUUCAGCCGCUGCUUGAGCAACAGAGGUAGCAUCCUUAAAUUUCAUGUUCCAAUACUGCCUGCCAAUAGAAAAAUUUCCAUUACCAUUUCCAGGGAAUGAUUGACAAUGUUCCAGCCUUUCAUCCUUGAAACCUAAGCGGCAUGAACUAUCAUCAUCAACACAAUAUUGCCUUAAAAGUUCUACAACAACUCUGGAAGCUAGGCUUACAUAUUCUGCACACUCAGACGCUGCUUGAGCAGCAGAGGUAGCAUCCUUAUAUUUCAUGUUCCAAUUCUGCCUGCCAACAGAAAAAUUACCAUUACCAUCUCCAGGAAAUGCUUGCACAUGUUCCAACCUUUCAUCCUUGAAACCUAAGUGGCAUGAACCACCAUUAUCA